CCCGGUUUGCGGGGUCUCCCGGGAAGCCAGCCCCACAUUUUCUAAGGAGCUGUAGCUUCUAUUCCUCUGCAGCGUCAGCCUCCCCUCGGCCAUUGCCAAAGGCACUUAGACAGCCCAGCCCGGGGCAUUCACAGAAGAGCCGAGUCAUCCCUUAUGAGGCCACAUGCACUCAGUGGUCCCCGGAGCCUCUGUCCGGAGGUCAGGGGGCGCCUGGAAAUUCUGGGAGCAUACUGCAGAGUCAGGGGGUGAAGCCCUGCUCUGCGGCCGGCCGAGGCCUGUGGGGAGGCAGAGAGCCAGUGGCUGCGUCAGGAAUACUCAUUCUCGGCUCUGGAGGUGCAUCUGGCCAGACAACAUGAUGCAGCCUGGAAUUGCCAUCUCUCCUCCUGGGAGGUUUAUCCCUCCCAUCUGCUACAUUUCACCCAAAUGAGGAUGCAGAUCAGAAACAUGACUUGGAGGACAAGGAUGCCCACUUCGCUCAGCUGGCCUUGGGGAUUACUGGUCGUCACUCAGUUUAUGUGACCAUGUUGGAACCUCUAGACGCUGACUCUGAUCUGCUGUCAUUAGAAACACCAAACAUUUACCAAAAGAGCCAAGUCACUGAACCCAAGGGGUUAGUUUGUUUUGAAAACAGACCUAGACUUUCUACCAAGAGCCAGAAAAUCAUUGAAAACAUAAAACAACAAAAAUCUGUGGUGUGUUUGUAAAAAACGAAGACUCUGACCCUGAUCUAAACCAGAGUAUUUUUCUCCUGGCUCCCUCCCUUUUUCCCUUAAUUAGGCUAACUGGAAAGGAAAGGCUUUCAUCAGACCCAAACAGUAAUCUUCCUACCCUAAUCUCUAGGACAAAACAGAGAAUCUGGUCUGGAAUUGAAUUUGAAAUAUUAAAGAAAAAUAACUACCAGC
rnacentral:lncRNA from 1 species